GACGAACGCUGGCGGCGUGCUUAACACAUGCAAGUCGAACGAUGAAGCGGUGCUUGCACCGUGGAUUAGUGGCGAACGGGUGAGUAAUACGUGAGUGACCUACCUUUGACUCUGGGAUAAGCCUGGUAAACUGGGUCUAAUACCGGAUACGACCAAUCUCUGCCUGGGGUGUUGGUGGAAAGCGUUAUGGAGUGGUUUUAGAUGGGCUCACGGCCUAUCAGCUUGUUGGUGAGGUAAUGGCUUACCAAUGCGACGACGGGUAGCCGACCUGAGAGGGUGACCGGCCACACUGGGACUGAGACACGGCCCAGACGCCUACGGGAGGCAGCAGUGGGGAAUAUUGCGCAAUGGGCGCAAGCCUGAUGCAGCGACGCCGCGUGAGGGAUGACGGCCUUCGGGUUGUAAACCACUGUUAGCAUCGAAGAAGCGAAAGUGACGGUAGGUGCAGAGAAAGCGCCGGCUAACUACGUG
rnacentral:rRNA from 1 species